AGUCAGUGGAGCCAGGAGGUUUUGAUCAGGGGACUCAGCACCCCAGCUCGUAGGUUGUGAUCCGGAUCCGUAUUUGAGUCAGUCCACAAAUUUCUAGGCACUGGAUUUGUAGAGUCCAUCGAGUGGGACGAGAAAUGAGAUCAGCAUGGAGUCUGACUGCUAGAUAGAUAGAAAUUAAUUUAUCUUUUGCUUAUGGACAUUUGAAUUUAUGUAAUCAUUCAGUACA